rnacentral:rRNA from 1 species
UACGAAGGGGGCUAGCGUUGCUCGGAAUCACUGGGCGUAAAGCGCACGUAGGCGGAUUGUUAAGUCAGGGGUGAAAUCCUGGAGCUCAACUCCAGAACUGCCUUUGAUACUGGCGAUCUCGAGUCCGGGAGAGGUGAGUGGAACUGCGAGUGUAGAGGUGAAAUUCGUAGAUAUUCGCAAGAACACCAGUGGCGAAGGCGGCUCACUGGCCCGGUACUGACGCUGAGAAGCGAAAGCAUGGGGAGCGAACAGG